UGGGGAAUUUUGGACAAUGGGGGCAACCCUGAUCCAGCCAUGCCGCGUGGAUGAUGAAGGCCUUAGGGUUGUAAAAUCCUUUCGUGGGGGACGAUAAUGACGGUACCCCAAGAAGAAGCUCCGGCUAACUUCGUGCCAGCAGCCGCGGUAAUACGAAGGGGGCUAGCGUUGUUCGGAUUUACUGGGCGUAAAGCGCGUGUAGGCGGGUCGUUAAGUUGGGGGUGAAAUCCCGAGGCUCAACCUCGGAACUGCCUUCAAAACUGGCGACCUGGACCCAAGUAGAGGCAAGUGGAAUUGCGAGUGUAGAGGUGAAAUUCGUAGAUAUUCGCAGGAACACCAGUGGCGAAGGCGACUUGCUGGACUUGUGGUGACGCUGAGACGCGAAAGCGUGGGGAGCAAACAGGAUUAGAUACCCCAGUAGUCCCUGAGCGGGCUGGCAAGGCGCAU
rnacentral:rRNA from 1 species